GUCUGUGGCCAUGCUACCCUGAACAAGCUUGAUCCCAUCUGAUCUCGGAAGCUAAGCAGGGUCGGGCUUGGUUAGUACCUAGAAAGACCAGGCACUGUAGGCG
rnacentral:rRNA from 1 species